GCCGAGAUAGCUCAGUUGGGAGAGCAGCAGACUGAAGCAAUCCCGUACAAUUUGUCAUGGGCGCUAAUUCUGAAGGUCGGGUGUUCGAGCCACCCUCUUGGCA